rnacentral:lncRNA from 1 species
CUCUUUCAUGCCUUUCAUGUAGGCAAAGUAGACAGGGAGGGUGUUUUCUCCCAAUCAAGCUAUAAUCAAACUGACUUAGAAGAAGCUAUUAAUGCACAGAUCCAUCAUUGCUUGGCUAUGGACAAACGGGCAGGUGGUGCUGCACAACAGGCUGGGAUGAGCUCUUUUUUUCCUUCCUGGACGGAAAAGCUGCCACGUCUUUGAGCUGCUGAGAUGUUGCCAUGAUGUGGUGGUGCCUGAGGAGUGGUCCUUUCUUUGGCAUCUGCAGGCCCUGAGGCAUGGUCUGGAACUGGAAGAGGAACAAAGGGUUGCUGAAGUCUGCUUUGCAGGUGUAGCUGGCUUGCUGAAUUCUUCUCCUUUGCCUAAAGAGAGAGGCUGGACCAUUCCUAAUAAGGUAAGCUCAGGCCUGGAAAAUAUCGGCUCAUCACCUAGCUUCUUCAAGCCAAAAUGCUUUUGACCUACCUGCACACUGCUCUUUUGCUAACAACUCUCUUCCUAUCUCUCUGGGUUUCCCUAUAAAGAAGAUAGAAGGGUCUGUUUCUCCUUAAGGUUUGUAGGAACUCUAUCCCAAAAAUAAAUCCCUCCUUAACUGCAUAGCGGAACGGUUCACUGACAGCUCCCUGUCUCACUGUGGGCUGACCUUCUCCUGGCUGACUCUGCCAAGACCCUCAUAUUUUAAGGAUGAUGUCUUACUUCCCAGUUUCCACCCCACAGCCCACCUGCCUCUUCCAUUCCUCCCUCUACUCAAGCAGGAGAUCGAUGAUCUAAAUCCCUAUUUGCAGAUGGUGAGAAUGAAAGUAAUAUAAGAUAUAAAGUAAUAAGGCAUAAAGAUGGGACUACUUUUAGUAUGAAUCAUUUGAAAUUCCUUUCUCAUUGGUCAAAAAGCAGUUAAAUAUUGGCAAUUUCAGAUGAUUCACCUAACGAUUCUUUUUGCCCAAGGAGGCAAUGUGAGGUGCACAUCAGUUGCCUAAGUCAGCUAGACUCAUUGGAUGCCCUUGACUUCAACUACUGCACAUGCCUGGAUAAUUCUCAAAUAUGCAUCUCCAAUUCAGCUUCUCUUCUGACCUAUCAGACAUCCUCAUUUGGAUGUGACAAAUGUACCCCAAAUCUGUGAUGUCCAAAAUGGCAUCAUUGUUCCCCACUUCAGACCUGCUCAUUCUAUAUCCCUGUGGCAAGUGCCUCCAUUAUCCAAAGUCACCAAAUUCUACCCAAGGGAAUAUUCGUAGCUGUUCUCUCUUAAAUCCUCCGUCUCAGUUGAUAGACACAUAAGUUAAUAAUAUCUCCUUCAUCGUGUUUAAUCUCCUUUCUACCUCCCCACUGCUCUCUUCUAAAUUCUCAUAAUUUCUUACUGGCAUUCUAGUAACAACCUCCUAAUUAUUUUCUCUGCCUCCAGUUUUCUCACAUCUCCAAAGCCUGUGGAAUCCUUCAAUCAGGGACAUUUUUCUGAAACACAAAUUUGAUGAUGCUCUUCUUCUUCCAUGUCUCCUAUUGCCUUUUGGUAAAGGCCUCAUUCCUAAACACCCACAAGAAUCUUUUAUCUCAUGGUUAUCAAAGGAGGUUGGGAUCUGGCAGUAUUAUCUCUCUCUGUCUCUUUUUUAUUUUCAGACAGGGUCUCACUCUGUUGCCCAGGCUGGAGUGCAGUGGCACAAUCACAGCUCACUGCAGCCUCCACCUCCUGGGCCCAAGCUAUUCUCCUUCCUCAGCCUCCCAAGUAGUUGGAACAGCUACCUGUGUGACCUUGGGCAAGUCACUUGGCAUCUCUGUACCCCCAUUUAUACAAAGGCUUUUGAUCAUCAGUCUUCACAUGGUCUCCCACACUGCCCUGUGCUGAUGGAGCAGAGACGCAAAUGACGUGGGCCAUCCACUUUAACUGUCUUUCAAGGCCUUUCCACCAGGACAGUACCUCACAGGCCUUAUGGCCUUUGGAGUCUGGACAGCCUGAAUUCUCAUCAGUAAAUACUUCAGGUACCUAAUUACUACCCAGGGAGGAACAAUGUGGAACUACAAGCCCAGAGAUGGCUACAGGUGGGCAGAAGCGGGAGACAUGCACCAUCAUCCUUCCAGAAGAGGAAAGUGAUACGUAACUGUCAGAAAUCUGAUUAAAAUUUGCACAUGAAAUCAGUUAGAUAAAUUAUAGAACAUAAGUCAUGAUUCUACUUCUGAAAAAGAAAUAAUGGGUAAUUUUUCAUCAAAAUAGAAAAUAAAUAUGAAUCACUACAAUACCCAAGUAGUUGUUCCCAUCCCUUCCACCCCCAGCAAAUGUAUGCACACCUUGUGCCAGUGGAUGGGAUGCAGUAUUGGAAGUAGAGGAGGCUGGAGGGGGUGGAGGGUAGGAAGAAAGAACCCAGAUGGGAAGAGGUGGGAAAAUGUCAGAGAGAAAUUUCCCUUGAGUCCCAAUUUGCCUGGAGCUGCUUCUGCCUGGAGCUCUACAAGAAAAGCUGUUCAGAAAGGAGGCCAAAGAGAGAGGGGAGAAAAUAAACUCCUUUGUGAGGUUUUCCAGAGGUACACAUUUCUGAAAAGCUGAUUGUAUUUCUUCCUAAUCAUUCCAGUCCAGAGUCCAAUCAGCACAAAGACUGAGACAAUAAACUCACAUCACAAAAGUUUCUGGGAUCCAGGCUUCUUUUCAGGGACAAAUAAUACAAUUUCCAUCUGGAUAAUUUGUUCAUCAUGGCCCUAUGUUUUCUUAACUGUCGAGUGGAGAAACAAAGGCAGGACUCAGUACCAACUUCUAUCCUCUGUGGAUAGCACAAAGACAUCCUGCAUUUGCCCUGGAGGAGCAGUUCAUCAUUUGACUGUAUUUUGUACACAAACAACCAUUUUUCAAUCAGAUCAAGAUUUUCCUACUUUCAUUCAUCCUAAUACCCUACUUCUGCACAAUCAGUCAGAUUGGCUGAGCAGAAAGGCUAGCUUGUUCAUCCGUGUCUGGAAAUGCCAGAUGUACUUUUUUUUUUAAGCCUGGAAUGUUUUUCACUGAACUUGGCCAAGUGUCUGCUCAGAGGGGAGCUCCAGGUGCUACCCCUGGACUACCGGCUCCCGGGCUGCAAGGGGUCUGGGUCUCGAGUUGGAUUGUGAGGGCUAGAGCAUUCCCACUCACCCCAGUACCCUGCAGUGAGCCGGCUUGGAGUGGUGGCAAGAGCAUACAUUUCAGAGACAGUUUCUAGCAACCUUCCUUACUAGCUCUGUGACUUCAUGUCUCAUAGUUGGCACGCAGUACAUGGUAGCUAUUGUUAACAUUUAUUAGUGACAAAUGCCACCAGCAUUAAGACACUAUUAUCCUCUAGUCCCUUGCUACUCAUAAUGUACCCACAGAUCAGCUGCUUCUGCAUCACAGGGAGCUUGUUAGAAAUGCGUCAGAAUCUGCAUUUUAGCAAGAUCUCCGGGAAGUUCCUACACAUUAACGUUUGGGAAGUGCUGCAGUCUAGUCAACACUCCCUGGCUUCCUGGAAGGGCCAACCCACCCAGUCACAAUGCUUUUUUCAGGACAAUCUCUCCUGUGUUCAACAUUUUUUUCUACAACCCAAAUCUUGGCACAUAGCCAAAUCAAAUAUGAAUUCAUCUAAUGGAAACAAUGAGGUAGAAUAUUUGACAUUGAGUUUCACUAUCACUAUGUUUAACUCCUGUCUCAUAACCAUUUUGCUUUCCUAUAUCUGAAAAAGGGGAAGAAUUAUUUUAAACAGUUCACCACUCCAGCCCCUUUUAUUCUAGUCAUGGGUGAGGCUAUAUGUUAGCUUUUUAUGCAUUUCUCUGCCUAAACAUUUCUUCUAAGGAAAAAAGAUUCCCCAGCAGACACACCAUGGGAAUCUGCCUUCUUCUGGAAAUCAGUCCCUGCACUGAUGGAGCUGGUCCAGGUAACGCCUGGCGUCCCCUCUUCAGUGAAUGCCACAGGCCCUGCCUUUUUGAUGCCCCUUUAUUUCAGCUGCGUGGGCAGGACACCAGGCUAUUUGCAACAGCAAUUUCUGAACAUGACUUGCAAUGCAUACUUGCCAGAGAGCUACCACUUCAUCAGGACUGACUGAAUUAGAGGCAGAGACAGCUGCUGCUGGUAAAGUCUUGGUUUCUUGGUCCCAGGCCUCUGGUUCCCACAUGCGAUGCCAUGGAGACCCUGUUUGGAAGCAGCAAUGCCCCCUGAACUGUGAGCUAUCACUCUAAAUGUUUGUGCAAAGGGAGUUCAGUCCACAUUCAUUUUUUGUAAUUAUUUUCUAUUUUUCCGAUUUUCCAUUCUAGAAGAUAUAUAUGUUCACGGUAUGAAACUUUCAGCCAGAGUGGGCCUCAUCAAGUAGCCUUGACCAAGAACUAUGUAGUUCAUGGGCUGCAUGGAAUUGCUCUGGCAACCACUAGAAUCAAAGGAGGGGCUGACUGUGGGUUCUGGAGAUAGUAUGAUAUGGUAGCAGGGAUUUGGUCAUUUCCAAGUAAUACAAAACCAACUCAAACCAGCUCAGAUUGGCUUGGUAACUAGGAAGAAUGCUGGGUGGCUCACAGGUAGAAGAAAGAGUUAUAGAACCAGAAACUUAUGAAUUGUAAUGGGGAUCUUAAUGUUUCCAGGAGUUUCUCUCCUUGCUGUGUGUGUGUAUAUAUGGAUCUAUAUCACACCUACACACUUACAUGUUUGCAUGUAUUUGGUUAUAAUGAAACCUCAUUAAAUGGUGGUGUGCUGGCUUCCUUUAUUCUACCAGAAAAGAGGGCUAUGAGUCUUUCUUUGUCUCAUUUUUUCUCUAAUAUGACCCUAAGGGGUCAGCAACCUACUGGCCUAGUAGCCUGUUUCUGUAUACCCCCCCACUCCCACACCUGGCAAGUUAAAAUGAUAUUAAAUUUUUAUAAGGUUGUGAAAAAGCAAACAAAUAAUGAAGGCUAUGAGACAGGACCAUAUGGCCUGCAAAGCCUGAAAUAUUUACUAUCUGGCCCUUUAUAGAAAAAAGUUGCUGACUCCUAGAAGGUAAGAGACAGUCCCUUACCUCCUCCAUCAAUUCUAACAGAAACUUCCCUGGGAGAGAGGAGUCCUCCCUGAAGAGUCAAUGUGGCAAGGGAGACCAGGGAUGCUGAUUGACCAGGCUCAAGUCCUGUGACCUCAGGGUACCUGGGGGCAGAACAGGAGCUCUCCCAAGAAAAAGCAGUGUACAGUUUCCCAAAGAAAAGGGAAGAGUCACUGGGAAAGCCCAGUGGGAUACCCUGUAAGAAAACAGAUGUCACUCUUAAAAGAGGACUAUUUGCAACAGCAUGGACAGCGUGGAAGGAUGGAGAAGAGCAUUGGGACUAGGAACAGAGGACUCUUAGGCCUGAAGGGGUAAGGGAGGGGAGUCAUUACCUAAAUCUACAGGAGCCUUGACUGUCAGCUUGGUCCCUGAGCUGGAGAGAGAGAGAACACAGCAACCACUAAACAGCAGCCCAGGGGUAAGAAAGCUCCCACUUUCCCCACCCUCCAGGCAAGCCAACAAGAAGCCAGAGGCCAAGUCCGAGAGGCCAACUUCCUGGGCACAGAGCAAGUUUCCUCAUCUGUACCACGAACUUAGAUACGCAAAGGGCCUGCUCCACAGGCAUGAGCAACAACACAGACAGUUUCCUGCCUUUCCCCCAAGUACUCUCUCUCCCUCUUUCCCAGGAGAUGGACCUAAACAGCUCUGAGCAGCCAACGGAGGGAAGAAGAGAUUCCUAGAAGGCAAGAAACAAAAUGGCCAGAUUCUGGGCACUCUUGGCUGAGUUCCUCUCUAGCAACUGGCAACAGCCAGAUAGUUGCCUCCACCAAGAUCAUCCUCCCCUCUCUGGCAGAAGAAUGUUUGGCUAAAGGAGAAGUCCAACACCUCUUCCUCAGGGCAGAACAGCUCUGACAGACCAUCUCUUUUCCAGAAGUCCUCAUAAGCUUGGCUGAGGCCUUUGUUGUAAUUGCAUUACAGUUCCAUUUCUUACUAGGCCCAAUACUUUUCCCUUACCUCUUAUGGCUAUUAUUCUCAAAAGUAUGCUCUCAAUAAAC